rnacentral:rRNA from 1 species
AUUGAACGCUGGCGGCAUGCCUUACACAUGCAAGUCGAACGGCAGCACGGGGCAACCUGGUGGCGAGUGGCGAACGGGUGAGUAAUGCAUCGGAACGUACCUUUCAGUGGGGGAUAACGUAGCGAAAGUUACGCUAAUACCGCAUAUUCUGUGAGCAGGAAAGCAGGGGAUCGCAAGACCUUGCGCUGAUUGAGCGGCCGAUGUCAGAUUAGCGAGUUGGUGAGGUAAAGGCUCACCAAGGCGACGAUCUGUAGCGGGUCUGAGAGGAUGAUCCGCACCACUGGAACUGAGACACGGUCCGGACUCCUACGGGAGGCAGCAGUGGGGAAGUUUGGACAAUGGGGGCAACCCUGCUCCUGCCAUGCCGCGUGAGUGAAGAAGGCCUUCGGGUUGUAAAGCUCUUUCGGCCGGGAAGAAAUCGCACGGGCUAAUACCCUGUGUGGAUGACGGUACCGGAAUAAGAAGCACCGGCUAACUACGUGCAAGCCGCCGCCGUAAGAC